rnacentral:ncRNA from 1 species
UAUCGAGCAGCGGGAGAGACCGAUUUCUCCCGACAUCGGCGCCGACGGAGCAACCACCCCGGAAACUCUCAGGCAAAAGGACCGCUGCAAGAUC